ensembl:lncRNA
UGAUCGAGAUGACUCAUUCGAAUGUCACUCAACAACUGUCAUGUACAACCUUACCGGGUGUUGGUGGAUUUAUUUGGAAUGAGUCAAACCAUCAUGGCCAUAACUGGUUUCUACCUACAGGAGCAGCCAAUCAGCUACGGUGGCUCAAUUUAUGAGCACCCCUUCAGCACUCGGCAGCAGCGUCGCCACAAACAUGGACGACAGAGGAGAGAGCGGAGGAGAGGAAGCUAAUCGCAACCUUGGCUUCAAUCCAAAUCAAACAGGGCGGAUUGGUGCCGGGUUACCAUGACAACCGCCCUUCCUGCCCCAGUCAGUGAUGACAUUUAGGGGGGUUCACUGAGCUGAGCCCGGCCCAAACGUGAGCUGCAUAGAUGAACACCGAGUGAAACCGCACAUCAGACACCUUUACA